AGCGACUUAUAUUCAGUGGCAAGGUUAACCAUCUAGGGGAGCCGUAGGGAAACCGAGUCUUAACUGGGCGUUCAGUCUCUGGAUAUAGACCCGAAACCAGGUGAUCUAGCCAUGGGCAGGUUGAAGGUUGAGUAACAUCAACUGGAGGACCGAACCGACUAAUGUUGAAAAAUUAGCGGAUGACUUGUGGCUAGGGGUGAAAGGCCAAUCAAACCUGGAGAUAGCUGGUUCUCCCCGAAAGCUAUUUAGGUAGCGCCUCGGACGAAUACUACUGGGGGUAGAGCACUGUUAAGGCUAGGGGGUCAUCCCGACUUACCAACCCUUUGCAAACUCCGAAUACCAGUAAGUACUAUCCGGGAGACACACGGCGGGUGCUAACGUCCGUCGUGGAGAGGGAAACAACCCAGACCGCCAGCUAAGGUCCCAAAUUACUACUAAGUGGGAAACGAUGUGGGAAGGCUCAGACAGCCAGGAUGUUGGCUUAGAAGCAGCCAUCAUUUAAAGAAAGCGUAAUAGCUCACUGGUCGAGUCGGCCUGCGCGGAA
rnacentral:rRNA from 1 species